AUUGAACGCUGGCGGCAUGCCUUACACAUGCAAGUCGAACGGCAGCAUAGGAGCUUGCUCCUGAUGGCGAGUGGCGAACGGGUGAGUAAUAUAUCGGAACGUGCCCUAGAGUGGGGGAUAACUAGUCGAAAGACUAGCUAAUACCGCAUACGGUCUACGGAUGAAAGUGGGGGAUCGCAAGACCUCAUGCUCCUGGAGCGGCCGAUAUCUGAUUAGCUAGUUGGUGGGGUAAAAGCUCACCAAGGCGACGAUCAGUAGCUGGUCUGAGAGGACGACCAGCCACACUGGGACUGAGACACGGCCCAGACUCCUACGGGAGGCAGCAGUGGGGAAUUUUGGACAAUGGGGGCAACCCUGAUCCAGCAAUGCCGCGUGAGUGAAGAAGGCCUUCGGGUUGUAAAGCUCUUUUGUCAGGGAAGAAACGGUCCUGGAUAAUACCUGGGACUAAUGACGGUACCUGAAGAAUAAGCACCGGCUAACUACGUGCCAGCAGCCGCAGUAA
rnacentral:rRNA from 1 species